rnacentral:rRNA from 1 species
GGUUAAGCGACUAAGCGUACACGGUGGAUGCCCUGGCAGUCAGAGGCGAUGAAGGACGUGCUAAUCUGCGAUAAGCGUCGGUAAGGUGAUAUGAACCGUUAUAACCGGCGAUUUCCGAAUGGGGAAACCCAGUGUGAUUCGUCACACUAUCAUUAACUGAAUCCAUAGGUUAAUGAGGCGAACCGGGGGAACUGAAACAUCUAAGUACCCCGAGGAAAAGAAAUCAACCGAGAUUCCCCCAGUAGCGGCGAGCGAACGGGGAGGAGCCCAGAGCCUGAAUCAGUGUGUGUGUUAGUGGAAGCGUCUGGAAAGGCGCGCGAUACAGGGUGACAGCCCCGUACACAAAAAUGCACAUGCUGUGAGCUCGAUGAGUAGGGCGGGACACGUGGUAUCCUGUCUGAAUAUGGGGGGACCAUCCUCCAAGGCUAAAUACUCCUGACUGACCGAUAGUGAACCAGUACCGUGAGGGAAAGGCGAAAAGAACCCCGGCGAGGGGAGUGAAAAAGAACCUGAAACCGUGUACGUACAAGCAGUGGGAGCACGCUU